rnacentral:rRNA from 1 species
GAGUUUGAUCCUGGCUCAGGCGUAACGCUCGCGGUCUGUUUUAACACAUGCAAGUCGAACGGCGCCGUUUCGGCGCAGUGGCGAACGGGUGAGGACAAAACGAAAAUCUACCCGGAAGACAUCAAUACCCUCCAGAAAUGGUGGUUAAUGGGCGAUAUGCUUCACAGUGAAAGGUGCUAACAUUUCCCCGGCAGGGCCCGGCGGCGCUGACACGGCAGGGCCACGUGGAACACACGUCCACGGCGUAGCCGAGUAGACCUGCGGCACAGCCGAGCCGCGGCGCCGGAGGCGCCGAGCCGGGGGUCCGCAGGAGCCGCGUCGGCGGCGCCGCGUGUAGCCGGGGCAUGCGCCGCUUCCGGAUGAGUUUGUUUCUGAUUAGCUUGUUGGUGCGGUAAUGGCGUCCCAAGGCUUCGAUCAGUAGUUGGUCUGCGAGGACGAUCAACCGCAUUUGAACUGAGACACGGUCAAAACUCCUACGGGAGGCAGCAGUGGGGAAUCUUCGGCAAUGAGCGAAAGCUUGACCGAGCAAGACCGCGUGGGGGAUGAAGGUUCGAGGAUUGUAAACCCCUUUUCUUGGAGAAGAAGAGAUGACGGUAUCCAAGGUAAUAAGUAGUGUCUAAUUUCUGUGCCAGCAGACGCGGUAAGACAGGAGCUACGAGUGUUCGCCGAUGUUAUUGGGCUUAAAGCGUCUGCAGGUGGUAGGACACGUCAAAGAUUAAAGGUCACUGCUCAACGGUGGUUCGGUCUUUGAUACGGUCCUACUUGAGUUCGGGAGACGUCGAGGGAACUCCCGGUGGAGUGGUGAAAUGCGUAGAGAUCGGGAAGAACACCAAAAGCGAAGGCACUCGACGAGCCCAGAACUGACACUCAGAGACGAAAGCUGUGGGAGCAACAAGGAUUAGAUACCCUUCUAGUCACAGCUGUAAACUAUGAAAACUAGGCGUUGGGAACCUUCCGGAACUCAGUGUCGUCGCGAAAGCAUUAAGUUUUCCGCCUGGGAAGUACGGUCGCAAGACUGAAACUCAAAGGAAUUGGCGGGAGCUCGCACAAGCAGUGGAUCAUGUGGUUUAAUUCGAUGCUAAGCGAAAAACCUUACCAAAACUUGUAUCCCGGAAAGUUUUUUGAAGAAAAAAUGUGCUUUUAAGAAUCCGGUGACAGGUGGUGCAUGGCUGUCGUCAGCUCGUGAUGUAAAUUGUCAGCUUAAGUGCUUUAACGAGCGAAACCUCUGUCUGUAAUUACCUUUUCUUUACAGAGACUGCCAGUGAUAAAUUGGAGGAAGGAAGAGAUGAAGUCAAGUCAGCAUGCCCCUUAUGUUUUGGGCUACACGCGUGAUACAAUGGGAAAGACAAAGAGAUGUAAUACCGCGAGGUGGCAACAAACCUCAGAAACUCUCCCUCAGUUCGGAUUGAAGGCUGCAACUCGCCUCCAUGAAGACGGAAUUGCUAGUAAUCGUGGAUCAGCAUGCCACGGUGAAUAUGUUCUCGAGCUUUGCACACACCGCCCGUC